rnacentral:rRNA from 1 species
GGUCACAGCCACAUCACCCUGCAGCCCAAGACCGGUUACUCACUGAAGCUAAGCAGGGCUGAGCCGGGUCAGUGUCUGGAUGGGAGAGCACAUGGGAACACUAGGCUGCUGUUGGCA